CAUAAGGUGCCGUAGAUCUGUCACGAGACAACGGGAUGCGUGAGAUAUCGAUCAGCUUUAGUUCCAGAGCGGAUUUAACACCAUUGCUCUUAGGACCUGCAUUCGCCUAUAAACAUUUCCCGUACUUGCCAGAUGGGUAUUUCCAAUAACACGGUGGUAUUGAAGUUUGACGUCGAAAGCCGUCAGCUAGAGGAAGUCUCUGAGGAAACAAAGGUGGAGGUGAGGUAGCAGGGUGCCGUCUCUCUGUGGACCUUGGUAAGACACACUAUGAAAUGGCAGAGCAUAUCGGCUACAACUCUAUCCUGGAGCUCAUCCUCUCCUCCUCGCGACAGGGUGCAAUAUGUCGUUUGGAGAUAAAUGGUGGCCCACCUGUUCCUCAGUGCAACAAUAAAAAGGUGUGUCCAAAAUGACGAGCUGCACUAAUGGCCAGCUGGUGUCUGUAGGUCACUUUGGGCGGACCAGCUCGGCUCCAGCUCCAACGCCAGAGGAGCUGGACAGCCAACCCCAAGGUGAGGUUGUGUGGGACAGCCCACCCUGGAUUCAUUAAGGCUGGAUGAAGACAGCCAGCAAAGACAGUGACCCUGGUGGUCAGUCUGGGAUCUAACCUGACUGGGAACCAGCUUAACGUAGUGAUCUUGUGACUCAGGAUCUGAACUCAGAGAACCAUUCUAUUUAUGUUCAAGAUGAAUAUAUUACAUUAUAUUAUUAAUGGGAAAGAGUGACUUAAUGGUCUAAUAUAUAGGAUGUAGUUUGAAUAAUAAAACAAAAUGA